rnacentral:misc_RNA from 1 species
GGGGAAAAGGGUUUGGUUUGUUUGGGCGGGUUUAGGAAUGUGAGAGCGGUGUAUGAGUGGAGCGGGUUGAAAUUGGAGCUAGAUGAAACACAUUAUGAUUUUGGAAUGAAUUAUGAGAUUGAAUGUGAGAGUAGUGAUCCAGAAAAAGCUAAGGAUUUGCUGGAGGAGUUUUUGAAGAUUCAUGGUAUUGAAUAUUCCUACUCCAAUGUUUCUAAAUUUGCCAUUUUUCGCUCUAGAAAAUUGCCUCAGUAAGUAAUAGUAGUAGUAA